UAUAUAAUGCAUUUAACUCCUUGUAUCAAUUUCCAUUGGUUAUCAACGCUACCGAAGACAGGAAAUCAUCAAAGACACAUUCAUUGCAGAGGUCAACAACAGUUGGCCUGCCCUGUUUUCAGAGACUGAGGUUGUUGCGGAGUUCACCCGCAUUACCAAUGGUACCUUUGUUGUCGACUUUCAUGGCCAAGCUGGACCACUACGCUGACCACCUUCUUAGAGUGUUCAAAAAGAAGGGGGGACAGCUAAACGCAAUAUCAACUUAAUCAUGGCAGCCAUGGAUGGGAAUCCCAGCGUUGAUGUUCGACGGGAAUGCAUUCUGAAAGCUGUCUGUGUCUACUUAAAUGAAAAGCCAGAUGACCUGUUCAAGGAAUUCUUGGAUGUGGAUCUUGGUGCAAGCAGAGAAAGGGAGCAGCUGACUUUGGGAGUCUAUGUUGUCAGACAUGAAGGAGCAAAC